AUGAAGCUAGAGCUAUGAGGAGUUGAACGCCAUUGACCUUGCACUAAUCUGACAUCAUGAACGGCCGAAAAUGGCUUGAGAAGCAGCUGUCUUACACGCGCGGUUCCUCUUCUCUUGCUACAGUUGUGGUCGCCGAUUGUGGCUCCUUAGAGUUCGUCGGGGCAGCACUUAAUCAUGACCACCUGUGUAGCCAUUGGUGAAGCAAGAGAAAAAAGAGCUGGAGAAGGGAGUUAGAGAGGGAGAGGAAAGAAAGAGGGAAGGAGCAUGGGGGAAGGUCUGUACACGAUUUUUCCAAAUACUAUGAUAUAAUAUUAUGAUCC
rnacentral:lncRNA from 1 species